rnacentral:rRNA from 1 species
UACGUAGGUGGCGAGCGUUGUCCGGAUUUACUGGGCGUAAAGGGAGCGUAGGCGGACUUUUAAGUGAGAUGUGAAAUACUCGGGCUCAACUUGAGUGCUGCAUUUCAAACUGGAAGUCUAGAGUGCAGGAGAGGAGAAUGGAAUUCCUAGUGUAGCGGUGAAAUGCGUAGAGAUUAGGAAGAACACCAGAGGCGAAGGCGGUUCUCUGGACUGUAACUGACGCUGAGGCUCGAAAGCGUGGGGAGCAAACAGG